GAUGAACGCUGGCGGCGUGCCUAACACAUGCAAGUCGAACGAAGCAGUUAAGAUGAAGUUUUCGGAUGAAAUCUUGAUUGACUGAGUGGCGGACGGGUGAGUAACGCGUGGAUAACCUGCCUCACACUGGGGGAUAACAGUUAGAAAUGACUGCUAAUACCGCAUAAGCGCACAGUGCCGCAUGGCAGUGGUGUAGAAAAACUCCGGUGGUGUGAGAUGGAUCCGCGUCUGA
rnacentral:rRNA from 1 species